GGGGGUGUAGCUCAGUGGUAGAGUGUGUGCUUAGCAUGCGCAAGGUCCUGGGUUCAAUCCCCAGUACCUCCA
rnacentral:tRNA from 1 species